CAGGAUGAACGCUGGCGGCGUGCCUAAUACAUGCAAGUCGAGCGAACUGAUUAGAAGCUUGCUUCUAUGACGUUAGCGGCGGACGGGUGAGUAACACGUGGGCAACCUGCCUGUAAGACUGGGAUAACUUCGGGAAACCGAAGCUAAUACCGGAUAGGAUCUUCUCCUUCAUGGGAGAUGAUUGAAAGAUGGUUUCGGCUAUCACUUACAGAUGGGCCCGCGGUGCAUUAGCUAGUUGGUGAGGUAACGGCUCACCAAGGCAACGAUGCAUAGCCGACCUGAGAGGGUGAUCGGCCACACUGGGACUGAGACACGGCCCAGACUCCUACGGGAGGCAGCAGUAGGGAAUCUUCCGCAAUGGACGAAAGUCUGACGGAGCAACGCCGCGUGAGUGAUGAAGGCUUUCGGGUCGUAAAACUCUGUUGUUAGGGAAGAACAAGUACGAGAGUAACUGCUCGUACCUUGACGGUACCUAACCAGAAAGCCACGGCUAACUACGU
rnacentral:rRNA from 2 species